GGCGAGCUCUGCAUCUCCUGCCCCCAUCUCCUGCCUCCGUCCCUGGAGGGGAAGAGCAAGAGAUCUCCCGGCUCUGCUGCUCCCUCGCUUGUGUGUCCUCUGCUUUCAGUUCCUUAGACGAAAAACUGCUUCCCAGAUGGACGUGACUUCUCAAGAGCUCUGAAGUAGAAAACGCUCCCGGGCAUGUCAGAGUACAGCAAAUCCGUGGCUACAGAUGCUGCAUCUGAACAAACCCUGGGCUGAGCAGACAGGGAUGUUCCUGGACAAGGGGAGAGCUGACAUUUUCCGGCAGAGGGGCUAUGACUGGGAAGAGCUUAGUGAAACAAUGACCUUGGGAGAUGCAGACUGAGCUGCGCAGUGGGGCAGACACGAAGGAUGAGGAUUCCUUUCACAGCUCCUCGCAGGAUCAUCAUCCCUGGCUGCUCAGCCAAGGCCUCACACACUCGCCUUGCUGCCCUUGCAACAGUCUAGAAGCACAAGAGGAAAACAAAUAGUCAGGGUGUGCCCGAUCCAUCUGUCACUGAGGAAAUAAACCUGUCCUCCUAAAACUUAAUGCCAUCAUUCACUCCGACCAAAGGUAGAGAUCAAGGCUGCUUACUCAGAGUAGUACCUAAGGCCGUGUCUAGUCAGGCAGACAGGCAGGCACAGUGACAGGCAAAUAAAUUACUCUGGCAUGGUCCCUCGGGAGUGUGCGCUCUCCUCUAGAGCAAGCGAUUGCCUCAGAAACACAUCUACUCUUCAAGGAGCCCUUGGGCUACGCAGGGAGUAAGUUACUCUGCAAGAGUGCUUAUGAGGAUCUUCUUAAAA